GAUGCUGGGAAAAAAAGCCACUUUCUAAAGCUCCCUGACAACUGUCAGAGGGCAGGAGCUUCCUGGGAGGGGACAGUGACCCUUCGGCCCUGCAGCCCUGGUUCGGUGGCUUUUCUGAUGCCAUGGCUGGAGGUUUCCCGGCCUCAGACAGGCCAGAGGUGUGGAGCCCGCAGACCCAGGGCCGGCUCACGGGCAUCUGUGCUAUUUUGAUUUGAUUUGAUUUGAGUUUUAGGUCACGUUUGCACGCAGUUAAUAAUUCAAGCCGUGCAGGAGUAAAAGCCGACUCCUUCCCCGCAGGGUCUCCAGGUGUCCCGGGUCUCCCUGUCCCAAUAGUCGAGUGUCUUUCUCGAGUUGGUGACAACAAGCUGCAUGCCAGCGUGUGUGUCCAGCUUACAGUGGGGAUGUGUUUGUUCCUGCUGGGGAACUUCCCAGACGCCAGGCCCACCCGGGGCCUCCCCUGCCCUGGGUGGUCGGCCGUUCUGCCCCCAGGACUGAGGCUGGAGGGGACAUUCCUGCCAGCCCGGGGCCCAUCCCCUGGUGCCAUCAUUCGGUCCCCACGUCCCCUGCUGUUCCCUGUGCUCUGGCUCAGGGUGGGAUUCACAGUGAGGGUCCUGGGGGCCCUGACCCUCCUGGUUUCCUCAUUUGUGCAGGGUGCACGAUCCUAACGGCGUCAGCUCCUACAGCGUUUCCGGGAGUGGAGACAGCAGAGGCUCUGAGCCGCCACAUGGGCCGGGGCCACCGUGAGCAUGUGGCUGGGGUUGGUCUGUGUCAGUGCCUAUUCCCCAGCUGUGUGCAGUGAGAGUCUCAGAGUCGGGGAACUGAGGGUCUCAGGGGGCACAGCCCCCACUCCGUGAGGCAGAUGUUCGAGGCCUGCACCUGCGCCCCCCACAGAUGGGACACUUCCACUUUCGCAAUGAGGCCCUGAGCUCCCCGCCUGGCCCCGUCUUGCCUGGUGUCUAAUCAGGGGGUCUGACGGAGGUGGGGUUGGAAAGAGAAGAGAAGAAAGUUGCCCACAAGUUGGGGGCAGGAGCUGCCCCCCAACUUUGGCGGCCACCUGGGGGUGUGGGCACCACUCCCCACCUCCCCACUACCGGCCUCCUCUCCCCCAGGCCGGGCAGUUGGUGCUUGUGGGGAAGCAGACGUUGGCUGUGGCUUUCAGAGCUGGGCGGCCAGGAGAUAAGGGGCUGGGGAGGAAGUGGCUGCAGAGGUGGGGGCAGCAGGAGGGGCCUCGGCUUCUCCCAGGGACCUCUGCUGUCUGCAGCCAGCACCCAGCCUCUCGGGGCAGGAGGGGCCUUUCCUUCCUUCCUAAAAGACCUAUUAGGGCCUACUGGGGUUCUUUCGGUGUCCAAGACAGCCCCUGGUCCUGCUCUCUGGGAACUAUAGGAGACACGUUCCAUCAACAUGGCCCAGCAUGUGGGGCCCAUAGGGCAGUUGGGGAAACUGUCCCUGGGUGGGCAGAGGGGCCCUAAGGCAGGCUUUGGUGAAUCUGUAGGAUGGCCAGAGAACUGGAGGAGGGUGAGGGGGCAGUGGGGGAGAUGACGCCAUGUGGGGGUGGGUGAGGAGGCCUUCCUUCAGGCAGGGUGUCUUAUGUUUGCCUUCUCUUCUAGCAUGUAGGAACCCCCCCACCCCCAACACACA
rnacentral:lncRNA from 1 species